GAUGAACGCUAGCUGGAGGCUUAAUACAUGCAAGUCGAGCGGGAUUGGGUAGCAAUACCCAUGAGAGCGGCGCACGGGUGAGUAACGCGUACACGAACUACCUCUAACAGGGGGAUAGCACUGGGUAACUGGGAUUAAUACCGGAUAUAAAUCUGAAUAAUAAAGGUUAGGAAGGAAAGCUGAGGCGGUUCGGGGAGGGUGUGCGUCUGAUUAGCUAGUUGGUAGGGUAACGGCCUACCAAGGCGAUGAUCAGUAGGGGGCGUGAGAGCGUGGUCCCCCACACGGGUACUGAGACACGGACCCGACUCCUACGGGAGGCAGCAGUAAGGAAUAUUGGUCAAUGGGCGAAAGCCUGAACCAGCCAUCCAGCGUGCAGGAAGAAGGCCCUAUGGGUUGUAAACUGCUUUUAUCAGGGAAGAAACCUCUGGAUUUACUCCGGAGCUGACGGUACCUGAAGAAUAAGCACCGGCUAACUCCGUGCCAGCAGCCGCGGUAAAAC
rnacentral:rRNA from 1 species